rnacentral:rRNA from 1 species
AUUGAACGCUGGCGGCAGGCCUAACACAUGCAAGUCGAACGGUAACAGGAAGAAGCUUGCUUCUUUGCUGACGAGUGGCGGACGGGUGAGUAAUGUCUGGGAAACUGCCUGAUGGAGGGGGAUAACUACUGGAAACGGUAGCUAAUACCGCAUAACGUCGCAAGACCGAAGAGGGGGACCUUCGGGCCUCUUGCCAUCGGAUGUGCCCAGAUGGGAUUAGCUAGUAGGUGGGGUAACGGCUCACCUAGGCGACGAUCCCUAGCUGGUCUGAGAGGAUGACCAGCCACACUGGAACUGAGACACGGUCCAGACUCCUACGGGAGGCAGCAGUGGGGAAUAUUGCACAAUGGGCGCAAGCCUGAUGCAGCCAUGCCGCGUGUAUGAAGAAGGCCUUCGGGUUGUAAAGUACUUUCAGCGGGGAGGAAGGGAGUAAAGUUAAUACCUUGGCUCAUUGACGUUACCCGCAGAAGAAGCACCGGCUAACUCCGUG